CCUCUAUUUUGAAAAAAAAAAAAAAAGUUAUAGUAAAUCGUGAUUUAUUAGGUAUCGUUAUAUCUUGUAUAUAGGAAAAAGUAGAAGAGUAAAUAAUUAUCUAUAUCGCAAUAUACGGCGAGGACGAAAAUUCUGCUGGUAGAUAUCUUCUGGUGGGGUUGGCUCUACCUGGCGGCCGAUAGCACGAUGGGUUCCGUGCACGCGCGCUACGGAGUCUCUCCAGUCAGCGAAGAGCGCUCUAACGCGAAGGACGUGGGAAAGAUCGAUUCGCGUUGAAAUUUGUAUUUCUCGAUUCCUACGAUCGCGUUUUUAUUUUCGUUUACAGCUGCGAGGACUACUUGUCUAUAUAUAUAUAUAUAUAUACACACACACACAUACACAUAUAUAUAUAUAUAUGUAUAUAUAAAUAUAUACAUUUAUAACGUGAUAACUUUUAUCUAACUUUAAUGUAUCUCUUUAAUCGAUCCGCGAUCAUUGAUUAAUGAUCGAUAAAGAUGAUCGAUUAUAUGGAUUAAUGUUACAAGUGAAAAACUUUAGUAAUAGUGAUUAAGCAUUCGUGUGAUCCUUGAUCGAACGAAAUAAAAAACUCAAUCGGAUUGUUCGCUUUAAAACGAAAUCUAUAAAAGUUUUGAAAAAAAAACAAAAAAAAAGAAAAAGAAAUGAGGAGAUAAAAAAUCGAUAUAGUUAUGUAUAACGAGUACCACCAUCACCACCACCACCACCACCACCACCACCAUUAACACCACCAACUCGAUCCCUACGUUCUUUCCACUCGAGCAGAAUAAAAAAAGCAAGCGAAGGAAGAACUUACUGCGGUACGGUAAAACGCACGUUCGAAAGAGUCUCUCGAGACUAAUACUCUCGAUUCGAUCGCACGAUCGAUUCUCUCGUCGUGACGUCGAUACUUCCGAUAAGGCAUCUGAAAUCGAGCGGAAGAUAUUCUAUCUGAAAGAAGAUCACGAUGAGAGCGAGAGGGUAAAGGAACAAGUAAAAGUAUAAGUACAAGAGGAGGAGGAGGAGGAGGAGGAAGAAGAAGAAGAAAAAGAAG